GCGGAGGAAAAGAAACCAACAGGGAUUACCUCAGUAACGGCGAGUGAAGCGGUAACAGCUCAAAUUUGAAAUCUGGUCCCCUCUGGGGGCCCGAGUUGUAAUUUGAAGAGGAUGCUUUUGGCGAGGCGCCUUCCGAGUGCCCUGGAACGGGACGCCACAGAGGGUGAGAGCCCCGUAUGGUAGGACGCCGAGCCUCUGUAAAGCUCCUUCGACGAGUCGAGUAGUUUGGGAAUGCUGCUCAAAAUGGGAGGUAAACCCCUUCUAAAGCUAAAUAUUGGCCAGAGACCGAUAGCGCACAAGUAGAGUGAUCGAAAGAUGAAAAGCACUUUGAAAAGAGAGUUAAACAGCACGUGAAAUUGUUGAAAGGGAAGCGCUUGCGACCAGACUUGCGCCCGUCGGAUCAACCGUCCCUCGUGGGCGGCGCACUCCGGCGGGCUCAGGCCAGCAUCAGUUUUCCUGGGGGGAGAAAGGCGGUGGGAAUGUAGCUCCUCGGAGUGUUAUAGCCCGCCGCGUAAUGCCCCCGGGGGGACUGAGGACCGCGCGAAAGCAAGGAUGCUGGCGUAAUGGUCGUCAGCGACCCGUCUUGAAACACGGACCAAGGAGUCGUCCUAAUAUGCGAGUGUACGGGUGUAAAACCCCUGCGCGUAAUGAAAGUGAACGGAGGUGAGAGCUUCGGCGCAUCAUCGACCGAUCCUGAUGUUCUCGGAUGGAUUUGAGUAAGAGCAUAUUGGGCCGGACCCGAAAGAAGGUGAACUAUGCCUGUAUAGGGUGAAGCCAGAGGAAACUCUGGUGGAGGCUCGCAGCGGUUCUGACGUGCAAAUCGAUCGUCAAAUAUGGGCAUGGGGGCGAAAGACUAAUCGAACCUUCUAGUAGCUGGUUUCCCCGA
rnacentral:sRNA from 1 species